rnacentral:rRNA from 1 species
AUUGAACGCUGGCGGCAGGCUUAACACAUGCAAGUCGAGCGGGGUGAUGGUGCUUGCACUAUCACCUAGCGGCGGACGGGUGAGUAAUGCUUAGGAAUCUGCCUAUUAGUGGGGGACAACAUUUCGAAAGGAAUGCUAAUACCGCAUACGUCCUACGGGAGAAAGCAGGGGAUCUUCGGACCUUGCGCUAAUAGAUGAGCCUAAGUCGGAUUAGCUAGUUGGUGGGGUAAAGGCCUACCAAGGCGACGAUCUGUAGCGGGUCUGAGAGGAUGAUCCGCCACACUGGGACUGAGACACGGCCCAGACUCCUACGGGAGGCAGCAGUGGGGAAUAUUGGACAAUGGGCGCAAGCCUGAUCCAGCCAUGCCGCGUGUGUGAAGAAGGCCUUAUGGUUGUAAAGCACUUUAAGCGAGGAGGAGGCUACUUUAGAUAAUACCUAGAGAUAGUGGACGUUACUCGCAGAAUAAGCACCGGCUAACUCUGUGUCAGCAGCCGCCGUAAAAC